rnacentral:rRNA from 1 species
CAAGUCGAACGCUCACCUUCGGGUGGGAGUGGCAGACGGGUGAGUAACACGUGGGAACGUACCCUUUGGUUCGGGACAACUCUGGGAAACUGGAGCUAAUACCGGAUACGCCCUUUUGGGGAAAGGUUUACUGCCGAAGGAUCGGCCCGCGUCUGAUUAGCUAGUUGGUGGGGUAACGGCCUACCAAGGCGACGAUCAGUAGCUGGUCUGAGAGGAUGAUCAGCCACACUGGGACUGAGACACGGCCCAGACUCCUACGGGAGGCAGCAGUGGGGAAUAUUGGACAAUGGGCGCAAGCCUGAUCCAGCCAUGCCGCGUGAGUGAUGAAGGCCUUAGGGUUGUAAAGCUCUUUUAUCCGGGACGAUAAUGACGGUACCGGAGGAAUAAGCCCCGGCUAACUUCGUGCCAGCAGCCGCGGUAAUACGAAGGGGGCUAGCGUUGCUCGGAAUCACUGGGCGUAAAGGGCGCGUAGGCGGCGUUUUAAGUCGGGGGUGAAAGCCUGUGGCUCAACCACAGAAUGGCCUUCGAUACUGGGACGCUUGAGUCUGGUAGAGGUUGGUGGAACUGCGAGUGUAGA